rnacentral:misc_RNA from 1 species
UCCGGUUUGGCACCGGCAGUCCUCCCAGAGUCCUCGACAUGACUCGCUAGCAACUGGGAGCGGGGGUUGCGCUCGUUGCGGGACUUAACCCAACAUCUCACGACACGAGCUGACGACAGCCAUGCACCACCUGUGAUCCUGCCCGUGAGGGAAGCCGUGUUUCCACGGCGGUCAGGAACAUGUCAAACCCAGGUAAGGUUCUUCGCGUUGCGUCGAAUUAAACCACAUGCUCCACUGCUUGUGCGGGUCCCCGUCAAUUCCUUUGAGUUUUAACCUUGCGGCCGUACUCCCCAGGCGGUCAACUUCACGCGUUAGCUUCGUUACCAAGGAAUUGCUACCCCGACAACCAGUUGACAUAGUUUAGGGCGUGGACUAC